GACGAACGCUGGCGGCGUGCUUAACACAUGCAAGUCGAACGGAAAGGCCCUGCUUUCGUGGGGUGCUCGAGUGGCGAACGGGCGAGUAACACGUGAGUAACCUGCCCUUGACUUUGGGAUAACUUCAGGAAACUGGGGCUAAUACCGGAUAGGAGCUCCUGCUGCAUGGUGGGGGUUGGAAAGUUUCGGCGGUUGGGGAUGGACUCGCGGCUUAUCAGCUUGUUGGUGGGGUAGUGGCUUACCAAGGCUUUGACGGGUAGCCGGCCUGAGAGGGUGACCGGCCACAUUGGGACUGAGAUACGGCCCAGACUCCUACGGGAGGCAGCAGUGGGGAAUAUUGCACAAUGGGCGGAAGCCUGAUGCAGCAACGCCGCGUGCGGGAUGACGGCCUUCGGGUUGUAAACCGCUUUCGCCUGUGACGAAGCGUGAGUGACGGUAAUGGGUAAAGAAGCACCGGCUAACUACGUG
rnacentral:rRNA from 1 species